UAAAUCAACAUAUUGAUUUAUAAGCAUGGAAAUCCCCUGAGUGAAACAACGAAUUGCUGUGUGUAGUCUUUGCCCAUCUCCCACGAUGGGCUUUUUUUUAA
rnacentral:other from 1 species